rnacentral:rRNA from 1 species
CCUACGGGGGGCAGCAGUGGGGGAUAUUGCACAAUGGGCGAAACCCUGAUGCAGCGACGCCGCGUGUGGGAAGACGGUCCUCUGGAUUGUAAACCACUGUCCCCAGGGACGAAAAUGACGGUACCUGGGGCGGAAGCUCCGGCUAACUACGUGCCAGCCGCCGCGGUAAUACGGAGGGAGCGAGCGUUUUCCGGAAUUACUGGGUGUAAGGGGAGCGUAGGCGGGGAUGCGAGUUGGGUGUAAAAACUACCGGCACAACUGGUAGUCGCACUCAAAACUGCAGCUCUGAGUGAAGUAGAGGCAGGCGGAAUUCCUAGUGUAGCGGUGAAAUGCGUAGAUAUUAGGAGGAACACCAGUGGCGAAGGCGGCCUGCUGGGCUUUUACUGACGCUGAGGCUCGAAAGUGUGGGGAGCAAACAGGAUUAGAUACCCCUGUAGUC